GGAGGGUCCGAGCGUUAAUCGGAAUUACUGGGCGUAAAGCGUGNGCAGGCNGUUUGUUAAGCGAGAUGUGAAAGCCCUGGGCUCAACCUAGGAAUAGCAUUUCGAACUGGCGAACUAGAGUCUUGUAGAGGGGGGUAGAAUUCCAGGUGUAGCGGUGAAAUGCGUAGAGAUCUGGAGGAAUACCGGUGGCGAAGGCGGCCCCCUGGACAAAGACUGACGCUCAUGCACGAAAGCGUGGGGAGCAAACAGGAUUAGAUACCCUGGUAGUCCACGCCGUAAACGAUGUCUACUCGGAGUUUGGUGUCUUGAACACUGGGCUCUCAASUAACGCAUUAAGUAGACCGCC
rnacentral:rRNA from 1 species